rnacentral:rRNA from 1 species
UACAGGGGGUGCAAACGUUGCUCGGAAUUAUUGGGCGUAAAGCGCGCGUAGGCGGCUACUUAUGUCGGAUGUGAAAGCCCCUGGCUCAACUGGGGAAGUGCACCCGAAACUGAGUAGCUGGAGUACGAAAGAGGGUCGCGGAAUUCCCGGUGUAGAGGUGAAAUUCGUAGAUAUCGGGAGGAACACCGGUGGCGAAGGCGGCGACCUGGGUCGAUACUGACGCUGAUGCGCGAAAGCGUGGGGAGCAAACAGG